GCCGGGCAUAGUGGCUCAUGCCUGUAAUCCCAGCACUUUGGGAGGCUGAGACAGGAGGGUCUCUUGAGCCCAGGAGUUUGAGACCAGCUGGGCAACAUAGCCAGACCCAUCUCUAUUAAAAGUAAAAAAUUAGCUGGGUGUGAUGGUGCACACCUGUACUCCUAGCUUCUCGGGAGGCUGAGGUAGGAGAAUAGCUUGAGCCCAGGAGUUCAAGUUUACAGUGAACUAUGACUGUGCCACUGCACUCCAGCCUGGGUGACAGAGCAAGAUCCUGUCUCU
ensembl:misc_RNA Metazoa_SRP Metazoan signal recognition particle RNA